GACGAACGCUGGCGGCGUGCUUAACACAUGCAAGUCGAACGGUGAAGCGCCUUCCUUUUUGGUGGGUGUGGAUGAGUGGCGAACGGGUGAGUAACACGUGAGUAACCUGCCCCCUUCUUCUGGAUAACCGCAUGAAAGUGUGGCUAAUACGGGAUAUUCUGGGUCUGUCGCAUGAUGGGUCUGGGAAAGAUAUUGUUUCGGUGGGGGAUGGGCUCGCGGCCUAUCAGCUUGUUGGUGGGGUGAUGGCCUACCAAGGCGGUGACGGGUAGCCGGCCUGAGAGGGGGGCCGGUCACACGGGGCCUGAGACCGGGCCCGGCCCCCGAGGGGGGCCGGGAGGGGGAAAUAUGGCACAAGGGGCGAAGGCGUGAGGCGGCGGCCGCGGGGGGGGGAGGGCGGCGUGGGGUUGGUGACCCUCUUCCGCGGGGGAAGAGGCCGCGCCUUGUUUGGGGGGGGGUGGAGGUGGGUGGAAAAAGAGGCGCCGGCAAACUAGGUG
rnacentral:rRNA from 1 species